rnacentral:rRNA from 1 species
AUGAACGCUAGCGACAGGCUAACACAUGCAAGCAGGGGCAGCACAAGGAGCAAUCUGAGGUGGCGACCGGCGCACGGGUGAGUAACACGCAUGCAACCUGCCUGUAAGCGGGGAAUAACCCGUUGAAAGACGGACUAAUACCGCAUAAUACUAAAUUACUGCAUGGUAAUUUAUUUAAACAUUUAUGGCUUACAGAUGGGCAUGCGCAUGAUUAGCUAGUUGGAGAGGUAACGGCUCCCCAAGGCAACGAUCAUUAGGGGUUCUGAGAGGAAGGUCCCCCACACUGGUACUGAGACACGGACCAGACUCCUACGGGAGGCAGCAGUGAGGAAUAUUGGUCAAUGGACGAGAGUCUGAACCAGCCAAGUCGCGUGCAGGAAGAAUGUCCUAAUGGAUUGUAAACUGCUUUUGCAGGGGAAUAAAGUGCAUCACGUGUGAUGUUUUGUAUGUACUCUGCGAAUAAGGAUCGGCUAACUCCGUGCCAGCAGCCGC